rnacentral:SRP_RNA from 1 species
GCCGGGUGCUGGUGGCGUGUGCCUGUAAUGCAAGUUACGGAGGCUGAGACUGGUGGUUGUUGAGCUCAGGAUCUCUGAGCUGCGUGGACUAUGUCGAUCGGGUGGUCUGAUAAGUUCGGUAUCAUAUGGUGCCCUGGGGGAGCCCGGGACCACCAGGUCCUCUAAGGAGGGGUGCACCGGCCCAGGUCGGAAACGGAGCAGGCCAAAGCCCCCGUGCCGCUCAGUAGUGGGAUGCGCCUGUGAAUAGAGGCUGUAGUGAAGCCUGAGUAAUACAGGGGACCCAGUCUUUU